CCUACGGGACGCAGCAGUGGGGAAUAUUGCACAAUGGGGGAAACCCUGAUGCAGCGACGCCGCGUGAGUGAAGAAGUAAUUCGUUAUGUAAAGCUCUAUCAGCAGGGAAGAAAAUGACGGUACCUGAGUAAGAAGCCGCGGCUAACAACGUGUCAGCAGCCACGGUAAUAAGUAGGUGGCAAGCGUUAUCCGGAUUUACUGGGUGUAAAGGGAGCGUAGACGGCAGUGCAAGUCUGGAGUGAAAGGCGGGGGCUCCACCCACGGACUGCUCUUGAAACUGUACGGCUGGAGUGCAGUAGAGGUAAGUGGACUUCCUAGUGUAGCGGUGAAAUGCGUAGAUAUUAGGAGGAACACCAGUGGCGAAGGCGGCUUACUGGACUGUAACUGACGUUGAGGCUCGAAAGCGUGGGGAGCAAACAGGAUUAGAUACCCUAGUAGUC
rnacentral:rRNA from 1 species